rnacentral:rRNA from 1 species
CAUGCAAGUCGAACGAAGCUCUGCGAUACAAGACUUCGGUCAAGUUGAACGGAUGACUUAGUGGCGGACGGGUGAGUAACGCGUGAGGAACCUGCCUUUCAGUGGGGGACAACAGUUGGAAACGACUGCUAAUACCGCAUGAAGCAUAGAGGUCGCAUGAUCUUUAUGCCAAAGAUUUAUCGCUUCAAGAUGGCCUCGCGUCUGAUUAGCUGGUUGGCGGGGUAACGGCCCACCAAGGCGACGAUCAGUAGCCGGACUGAGAGGUUGAACGGCCACAUUGGGACUGAGAUACGGCCCAGACUCCUACGGGAGGCAGCAGUGGGGAAUAUUGGGCAAUGGGCGCAAGCCUGACCCAGCAACGCCGCGUGAAGGAAGAAGGCUUUCGGGUUGUAAACUUCUUUUAAGAGGGAAGAGCAGAAGACGGUACCUCUAGAAUAAGCCACGGCUAACUACGUGCCAGCAGCCGCGGUAAUACGUAGGUGGCAAGCGUUGUCCGGAUUUACUGGGUGUAAAGGGCGUGCAGCCGGGUCUGCAAGUCAGAUGUGAAAUCCAUGGGCUCAACCCAUGAACUGCAUUU